GUAAACCGACCUAGGAGCGAGUGUAUAAGGAGUCCUAGGCGAGAGGCAUGGAAACAACUUUUUAGACUCAGAACUCUCGGCACUUAGAAACUUUGAGGUAAUAUUCUCGAUAUGCUCUGUUUCUGUGACUGGCACCCAAUUACCAGACGAACGCGCACAAGCAGUUCGAUCUCUUGGUUCACUAUUGAACUACGUUUGGCUUGAUCCUCGAAAGGGGUAUGUAGGCAGCCUUUCAUAAGGUUCAGUCCGAAAUCAAUCAAAAACCUUUUUUGUAUCUUUUUCGUCUUUUGUUAUCAAACUGCGACUCAACUAGGUUUGAGCUUU
rnacentral:lncRNA from 1 species